rnacentral:tRNA from 1 species
UUAAUUGAAGCCAAAGGAGAGGCAACUUAAUGUUAAUAAGAGUACUGGUUAAAAUACCCAAUUAAA